AAACGACUCUCGGCAACGGAUAUCUCGGCUCACGCAUCGAUGAAGAACGUAGCAAAAUGCGAUACUUGGUGUGAAUUGCAGAAUCCCGUGAACCAUCGAGUUUUUGAACGCAAGUUGCGCCCGAAGCCAUUCGGUUGAGGGCACGUCUGCCUGGGCGUCACGCAUCAC
rnacentral:rRNA from 2 species